GAGCGAAUGCAAGAUUUCUUCUUUUCCUCUACGCCACAUCAGCUCGAAUUCCCUGCAGGGGUCUGUAACUGCGGAACUCGACUUCACAGAGCUAUCCUGCCGCAUCAGCCGCGAAGGUGCCUCAAGCCCCGCUGCAGGACAGAGCCAGCAGCACUGUGCCACAGCGGUGCGGAAAUUUCAGCCCAGACCCCAGCCUGGCAGGUGUGGAGAAGCCGCGGUGGGUUGGAGAUGUCCCUUCCAGGCAGGCGUGGCCGGCGCGGUGACGGGAGGAAGGUCCCUGCAGAGGGUGCUCCAGCCCCAGCUACCUUCCUCUGCUUGGCACGGAGUCAGCGGUUUUACUUCAUUUUUCCCACUGAGAAAAAAUCUCCUAAUAAUUCACCUGUACGUUGCUCAAGAAGGAGCCUGCAAGCAGUGCUUGCUGCAGUACCAGACAAGGGGGAGCCUGCUGCCUGGCUUCUCUGA
rnacentral:lncRNA from 1 species